AAUAAUGAAAAAAAUAAUAUUGAGCUCUCGGGUUCAUUAUUAUUUUUAAUCUAUUUACUGUGAACUGUAUUAUUUGCAUGGCGCUUGAGAGAUGUCUAGGCAUUAUAUGGAUAGAUGCUUAGAAUGUUAAUCGAGUCAUGAUCAAGCUUAGGCUUGGUAUCCUAUUAUUAUUUACCAAAAGAAUUCAGCUUAAAAAUAUUGUAACAUAGACCUAAAAAAUCUAUAAAA
rnacentral:misc_RNA from 1 species